rnacentral:rRNA from 1 species
UUGACGGGGAGCACCACGAACGGGUGGAGCUUGUCGGUUUAAUUGGAUUCAACGCCGGAAUCUUACCGGGACCGACAGCAAUAUGAAGGCCAGGCUGAAGACUUUGCCGGAUUAGCUGAGAGGUGGUGCAUGGCCGUCGUCAGUUCGUACUGUGAAGCAUCCUGUUAAGUCAGGCAACGAGCGAGACCCACGCCCACAGUUGCCAGCGUACUCUCUGGAGUGACGGGUACACUGUGGGGACCGCCGCUGCUAAAGCGGAGGAAGGAAUGGGCAACGGUAGGUCAGUAUGCCCCGAAUAUCCCGGGCUACACGCGAGCUACAAUGGUUGGUACAAUGGGUAUCUACCCCGAAAGGGGACGGGAAUCUCCUAAAACCAAUCUUAGUUCGGAUUGAGGGCUGCAACUCGCCCUCAUGAAGCUGGAAUCCGUAGUAAUCGCGUUUCAACAGAACGCGGUGAAUACGUCCCUGCUCCUU